rnacentral:rRNA from 1 species
GAAGGAGCUUGUCUCCUGGAUUCAGCGGCGGACGGGUGAGUAAUGCCUAGGAAUCUGCCUGGUAGUGGGGGACAACGUUUCGAAAGGAACGCUAAUACCGCACACGUCCUACGGGAGAAAGCAGGGGACCUUCGGGCCUUGCGCUAUCAGAUGAGCCUAGGUCGGAUUAGCUAGUUGGUGAGGUAAUGGCUCACCAAGGCGACGAUCCGUAACUGGUCUGAGAGGAUGAUCAGUCACACUGGAACUGAGACACGGUCCAGACUCCUACGGGAGGCAGCAGUGGGGAAUAUUGGACAAUGGGCGAAAGCCUGAUCCAGCCAUGCCGCGUGUGUGAAGAAGGUCUUCGGAUUGUAAAGCACUUUAAGUUGGGAGGAAGGGUUGUAGAUUAAUACUCUGCAAUUUUGACGUUACCGACAGAAUAAGCACCGGCUAACUCUGUGCCAGCAGCCGCGGUAAUACAGAGGGUGCAAGCGUUAAUCGGAAUUACUGGGCGUAAAGCGCGCGUAGGUGGUUUGUUAAGUUGGAUGUGAAAUCCCCGGGGCUCAACCUGGGGAACUGCAUCCAAAACUGGCAAGCUAGAGUAUGGGUAGAGGGUGGUGGAAUUUCCUGUGUAGCGGUGAAAUGCGUAGAUAUAUGAAGGAACACCAGUGGCGAAGGCGACUACCUUGGACUUGAUUCUGACAC